GGGUGUGGGGGUGUGUGUGUGUGUGUGUGUGGGUGUGUGUGCACGCGCGCGCGGGCACAUACACUGAUACACACCAAGGUGAGACUCAGG
rnacentral:miRNA from 10 species